GGGUCUGUAGCUCAGUUGGUUAGAGCGCACCCCCCUGAUAAGGGUGAGGUCGGCAGUUCAAAUCUGCCCAGACCCACCA
rnacentral:tRNA from 1 species